ACCAUUUUCCUCCAGAGGAUACCAGAGCUUUACAACUGGAUGGACAGUUGCUUUUCCUGAAAUAUUUCAGCAACCAAGAGUUAAAUAUGAAAUCCCAGUGAAAGCCUCCAGCAAGGUUUACCUAGUGGACCUCACAAGGCAUCAGUCUCUGUCAUGACAGACCAACAGCACCUGGAACCCACAGGCUUCACUGAUGUCUGUUAUAGAGUGAUAAAUGUCAGCAGAAAGUGGAGCAGAUGGCAUAACUGUGCUGUGGCUGAAGAUAUUUCAGAAAAGGAUUCAGUGAAUUCUCUGUCUAGUAAACUAGCAAUGGAAAUUCCACCAUGG
ensembl:lncRNA